AUAGGCCGAGGGGGAGUACGCAGCAAAAUUUCGAACCAACAGCGGCAGCGAAAUUUCCAGACGGCCGCCUAUUCCUCUCCUCGCAGACUCGCGUCGCGCGUCCACCCCCAGAACCCCCAAAUCGAGCGGGUUCUACCAAAAAUGCAUCUGAAAACUCAUCUUAUCCGCUCGAAUCCAGUACAUGAUGAAGUACGAAGUGGAAUGUCAACUGUAUAUCUACUGGGUACUGACUACUUGGUUGGAACUUGGUCACUUGGACUGUGAAGGAGUUGAUGGUAUAGAGCAAUUUGGGCUACGAGUUGGUGUCAUUGAUCCAAGUGGAGUUCCUGUCCUUGAAGGAUCCUGACUCGGUAUGGGAGUCAUUUCUGUGCCCACAUCUCUCACGGACACCGAAUGAACUGCAGGAAUAGCUGCAUGCAAUAAUUCUUAUAAGAGUUUUGAAGGGCCUUAUUUCAAUUGAUGAACUGUUAUCGGUUGCCUUUGUUUGAUACUCUGAGGUGACACCAGCAUUAUUAACUGUACAGACAUCUGCAUGCCUAACCAACUUUGGUUGAUGUGAAC